UGCCCCAUGGCUGAGUUGGUUACAGCGUCCGACUGUUAUUCAUGACUACGGUUGAAUGAUUCUGUAUCGGAAGGUCGUGAGUUCGAGCCUCACUGGGGCAG